rnacentral:rRNA from 1 species
AUUGAACGCUGGCGGCAUGCCUUACACAUGCAAGUCGAACGGCAGCACGGGAGCAAUCCUGGUGGCGAGUGGCGAACGGGUGAGUAAAGUAUCGGAACGUGCCCAGUCGUGGGGGAUAACGUAGCGAAAGUUACGCUAAUACCGCAUACGAUCUAUGGAUGAAAGCGGGGGAUCGCAAGACCUCGCGCGAUUGGAGCGGCCGAUAUCAGAUUAGGUAGUUGGUGGGGUAAAAGCUCACCAAGCCGACGAUCUGUAGCUGGUCUGAGAGGACGAGCGGCCACACUAGGACUGAGACACGGCCCAGACUCCUACGGGAGGCAGCAGUGGGGAAUUUUUGACAAUGGGCGCAAGCCUGAUCCAGCCAUGACGCGUGAAGGAUGAAGGCCUUCGGGUUGUAAACUGCUUUUGUACGGAACGAAAAGGUUGACUUAAUACGUUGGACUCAUGACGGUACCGUAAGAAUAAGCACCGGCUAACUACGUGCCAGCCGCCGCCGUAA